GACGAACGCUGGCGGCGUGCUUAACACAUGCAAGUCGAACGGAAAGGCCCUGCUUUUGUGGGGUGCUCGAGUGGCGAACGGGUGAGUAACACGUGAGUAACCUGCCCUUGACUUUGGGAUAACUUCAGGAAACUGGGGCUAAUACCGGAUAGGAGCUCCUGCUGCAUGGUGGGGGUUGGAAAGUUUCGGCGGUUGGGGAUGGACUCGCGGCUUAUCAGCUUGUUGGUGGGGUAGUGGCUUACCAAGGCUUUGACGGGUAGCCGGCCUGAGAGGGUGACCGGACACAUUGGGACUGGGAUACGGCCCAGACUCCUCAGGGAGGCAGCAGUGGGGAAUAUUGCACAAUGGGAGGAAGCCUGAUGCAGCCACGCCGCGUGCGGGAAGAGGGCCUUCGGGUUGGAAACCGCUUUCGCCUGUGACGGAGCGUGAGUGACGGUAAUGGGUAAAGAAGCACCGGCUAACUACGUG
rnacentral:rRNA from 1 species